CCUACGGGCGGCAGCAGUGAGGAAUAUUGGUCAAUGGACGCAAGUCUGAACCAGCCAUGCCGCGUGCAGGAAGACGGCUCUAUGAGUUGUAAACUGCUUUUGUACGAGGGUAAACUCAGAUACGUGUACCUUUCUGCAAGUACCCUACGAAUAAGGAUCGGCUAACUCCGUGCCAGCAGCCGCGGUAAUACGGAGGAUUCAAGCGUUAUCCGGAUUUAUUGGGGUUAAAGGGUGCGUAGGUGGGCGGUUAAGUCAGGGGUGAAAUCCCGGGGCUCAACUUCGGAAUUGCCUCUGAAACUGUUCGGCUAGAGUGUAGUAGCGGUAGGCGGAAUGUGUGGUGUAGCGGUGAAAUGCUUAGAGAUCAUGCAGAACACCGAUUGCGAAGGCAGCAUACCAGGCUACAUCUGACGUUGAGGCACGAAAGCGUGGGGAGCAAACAGGAUUAGAUACCCUUGUAGUC
rnacentral:rRNA from 1 species